rnacentral:rRNA from 1 species
AGCGAACGCUGGCGGCAGGCCUAACACAUGCAAGUCGAGCGCCCAGCAAUGGGAGCGGCAGACGGGUGAGUAACGCGUGGGGAUGUGCCCAAUGGUGCGGAAUAACCCAGGGAAACUUGGAUUAAUACCGCAUGUGCCCUUCGGGGGAAAGAUUUAUCGCCAUUGGAUCAACCCGCGUCUGAUUAGCUAGUUGGUGAGGUAAAGGCUCACCAAGGCGACGAUCAGUAGCUGGUCUGAGAGGAUGAUCAGCCACACUGGGACUGAGACACGGCCCAGACUCCUACGGGAGGCAGCAGUGGGGAAUAUUGGACAAUGGGCGCAAGCCCGAUCCAGCCAUGCCGCGUGAGUGAUGAAGGCCUUAGGGUUGUACAGCUCUUUCACCGGUGAAGAUAAUGACGGUAACCGGAGAAGAAGCCCCGGCUAACUUCGUGCCAGCCGCCGCAGUAA